rnacentral:lncRNA from 1 species
GAAGUCUUAACAGCCUCUUGAAGUGCUUCAGAGCAAAGGUAAAUUCACCUCACGAUAAAACAGAGAGGUAAAACAGAUUUGCCCGCGACACGAGUGAAGCAGGGGUCAGUAGCCCGCUAGUCCCCGAGCCGAGGCGGGUAAAUAACCCGAGGGAACGAUCUCCACCCGCCCGGAGACCGGGCUGCCUUUGUCUCUCCCCUCCGGGCGGCAGCGGGCGCUUGCCGAGGGGGCGCAGGCGAGGGCGGCGAACAAAGGAAAGAAGACUCUGUCACCGCAGCCCUGCCCGUACACAGAGUGCCCGCAGACUCUGUCACCGCAGCCCUGCCCGUACACAGGGUGCCCGCACCCCUGCCCGGCCCGAGCAGGCUCCCCUGAAGGGGACGCUGAAUAAUUGCUAAUAAUCGAUCGCCUGCAUGCAUUGGGCAGCGAAAGCGGGCGCAUCCCUUGCUUGCAGCUUACUCCUUCCCCCGUUUGCCCUGUAAUCCUAUGCCACCAUGUGCAGAUAGAUGAAGGGACGUAAUUCAGCCUUCAGGCCUGGGCGGGGUUCUCGCCGUUUCAUCUUUUCCUUUCUCUUCCCUUCGCUGCUUUCUUCCCUCCCCCUUUCCAUCUCCCAGGCCCAGUGAGGUCAGCUCAUGAAUAUUGCUUCAUUUUCCUGAGAGGCGCUGGCAGCGGCGGGUACCUCGUGUGCGGUGCCCGGCUCUCCGUGCAUGCAUUUCUCCAGCCGGGCAGCGGACAAAGUGGUGCUCUCGGGGCGGCGGCGGCGGAGGAGGCGGAGGACCCCGCCGGUGAUGGACGCGCGCCCGAGAUCCCCCCCCCCCCCCCCCCCCCCCCCCCCCCCCCCCCCCCCCCCCCCCCCCCCCCCCCCCCCCCCCCCCCCCCCC